rnacentral:misc_RNA from 1 species
UCCUCCCUCAAACCCCGGGUUUGGUGUUGGACCCAAGUUGUGUGAACAACUGGUCUUAAAGACAAUGACGGCGUCCGUGGGACCCUCGGUGCAACGAGCUUUUAGGAGCACGCGUCGAGUUUCAAGGACCUUCCGGGCCGGUCUCCUUUACCAUUUUUACAA